rnacentral:rRNA from 1 species
AUUGAACGCUGGCGGCAGGCCUAACACAUGCAAGUCGAACGAUUGGCGGACGGGUGAGUAAUGUCUGGGAAACUGCCCGAUGGAGGGGGAUAACUACUGGAAACGGUAGCUAAUACCGCAUACCAUCGGAUGUGCCCAGAUGGGAUUAGCUAGUGGGUGGGGUAACGGCUCACCUAGGCUACGAUCCCUAGCUGGUCUGAGAGGAUGACCGGCCACACUGGAACUGCGACACGGUCCAGACUCUAACGGGGGGCAGCAGUGGGGAAUAUUGCACAAUGGGCGCAAGCCUGAUGCAGCCAUGCCGCGUGUAUGAAGAAGGCCUGCGGGUUGUAAAGUACGUUCAGCGAGGAGGCGUUACUCGCAGAAGAAGCACCGGCUAACUCCGUGCCAGCAGCCGCGGUAAUAC